ensembl:lncRNA
AUCCCAGUGCCACCAGUAUGCACAUCCCAGUGCUCCCAGUGCCACCAGUAUGCACAUCCCAGUGCCACCAGCACACACAUCCCAGUGCCACCAGUAUGCACAUCCCAGCACUCCCAGUGCCACCAGUACACGCAUCUCAGCAUUCUCAGUAUGCACAUCCCAGUGCUCCCAGUCCAACAGUCACCCAUCCCAGUGCUCCCAGUACCACCAGUAUGCACAUUCCAGUGCUCCCAGUGCCAUCAGCGACCCAUCCCAGUGCUCCCAGUGCCACCAGAGAUCCGUCCCAGCGCUCCCAGUGCCACCAGUAUGCACAUCCCAGUGCUCCCAGUGCCACCAGUAUGCACAUCCCAGUGGCACCAGUAUGCACAUCCCAGUGCUCCCAGUGCCACCAGUGCCCCCAGUACCCCAUCCCAGUGCCACCAGCGCUCCCAGUGCCACCCAUGACCCUCAACCCAGUGAUAAAGGGACCCCAGUGCCCCAUCCCAGUGCUCCCAGUGCCACCAGUGUGUCCCCAUCCCUCCCAGUGUCCCAUCCCAGUGCUCCCAGUGCCACCAGUCCGCAUGUCUCAGUGUUCCCAGUGCUCCCAGUGCCUCCAUAUCCCCACGCCAGUGCUCCCAGUGUCCCCUGUGCUCCCGUCCCAGCACCCCCAGCACCGCCAUUCAGCGGCACCAGUGCUCCCAGUGCUCCCAGUGCUCCCAGUGCCAGCCUUGUCCCAAUCCCAGAGCUCCCAGUGCCACCAGUGCCACCAGUGCCCCUCUUCCAGUGUUCCCAGCGCUCCCAGUGGCCACCAGCGCCACCCGACCCCCCGUCCCAGCGUCACCAGCGCUCCCAGUCCCUUCCCGUGUCCCCGCCCCAGUGCUCUCGGCAUCACUCGCGCCUCCAUCCCAGUUCUCCCAGUGCCCCCCGCCCCCCCCAACUGGGGCCGCACACGCGCGUGGGAGCUGAAGCCCCGCCUCCUCGCCAGGCCCCGCCCCCUCGCCGGGCCCCGCCCCCCGCGCUCUGAUUGGCCGCGGCGCAAGGGGGCGCUGUGCGCACGGCCCGCGUCACGCGCCCGCCUCCCCCCUCCACGUGACGCCGCCGCCGCCCACGUGACCCCGCCCUCCUCCUCGCGCGCGCGCGGCGCGAUGACGUCGUGAGGCGGCGCCGGCGGUCACGUGGGCGGCGGAAAGGCACGAGCGCGGCCGUGCGGGCGGGAACGGUGCGGCGGGAAGGGGGGCGGGGCACUUCCGGUGGGCGGGACACGAGGGCGGGGCACUUCCGGGUGGGGGCUCCCGGGCCAUGAGAGCGGCUCUGGGCGUGAGUGUCGCGAUAUCGGGGCGGGGUAUCGCGAUAUCGCGGCGGGGGUGUGAGUAGGGCCAGGAGGCCGUGAUAGAGCGCAGGCCGUGGGGGGGCGGGGCGGGUGUCGCGAUACGGGGGAGAGCACAUGGCGGCUGCGUGUCGCGACAUGGUGGAUAUCGUGACAUGGGGAGCAUUGCGUCACCCAGUCUGGGUGUUGUGAUGUGUUGGAUAUCACGACAUGGUAUCGUGACAUUGAGGUAUCAUGACAUGGUAUCGAGACAUGGGGAAUAUCGUGACAUGGGGCUGUUGUGACAAAUCAGGUAUCGUAUUGUGGCAGAUGUGCUGUGGUGAGGUGAGUAUCACAACGCAAGUCAGACGUUGUGAUCUACAUUGAAUGUCAUGAUAUGCAGGUAUCAUAGUGCAUCAGAGACACACAGUGCACCAGGUAUUGCAAUAAAUGCCAGGUGUCGUGACA